rnacentral:rRNA from 1 species
UGGGGAAUAUUGGACAAUGGGCGCAAGCCUGAUCCAGCCAUGCCGCGUGGGUGAUGAAGGCCCUAGGGUUGUAAAGCCCUUUCAGCGGGGAAGAUAAUGACGGUACCCGCAGAAGAAGCCCCGGCUAACUACGUGCCAGCAGCCGCGGUAAUACGUAGGGCGCAAGCGUUGUCCGGAAUUAUUGGGCGUAAAGAGCUCGUAGGCGGUUCGUCGCGUCGGCUGUGAAAUCCCGGAGCUCAACUCCGGGUCUGCAGUCGAUACGGGCGGACUUGAGUUCGGCAGGGGAGACUGGAAUUCCUGGUGUAGCGGUGAAAUGCGCAGAUAUCAGGAGGAACACCGGUGGCGAAGGCGGGUCUCUGGGCCGAUACUGACGCUGAGGAGCGAAAGCGUGGGGAGCGAACAGGAUUAGAUACC